UACGUAGGGAGCAAGCGUUGUCCGGAAUCAUUGGGCGUAAAGCGCGCGUAGGUGGCUUCGUAAGUCCGUUGUGAAAGUCUAAGGCUCAACCUUUGAAAGCCGAUGGAUACUGCGGAGCUAGAGUACGGAAGAGGCGAGUGGAAUUCCUGGUGUAGCGGUGGAAUGCGCAGAUAUCAGGAGGAACACCAGUAGCGAAGGCAGCUCGCUGGGACGUUACUGACACUGAGGCGCGAAAGCGUGGGGAGCGAACAGG
rnacentral:rRNA from 1 species